AUGCCAUGGUUAGGACACUACUUCAGGAGAAUUUUAAACCUCUGCCAUACAUCCACUAAAGUCUCACCAUCUUUCUGCAUGAAAUUGGUGAUCCCACCUCUAUUUU